UUCGAUCUGUCAAAAAUAAGUCUGCUUCCGAGGAGACUUAUUUUUGACAAAUCGUGAAUUAUUCGCGUCGCGGAAAACAUCGUCGCUAGAUUAUUUUUCAUAAGUUUAUCUGUUUUGCACGUUUUGCAUUACCUGGACUGAAAACCUGUUAGAAAUGGGACCAACAAACAAGAGAAAUAGCCAAAAAGUGUCGAUGACCGAGGUGGCUCACGCGAGGAGCUUGAUGUAAGCGGCAUUUGUUCAGGCUGUUUAUCCCGCUUCUAACGUUAUCGCCCGAGAUGUUCCGGCGGCGCAAGAUUUGAGUAAAUGCUGCAAAAAAGGAAGUCCCGGAUACACACAAAUAAUGCCCCGCAACCGAACAAAGAAACGUGGAACUUCGGCCGAGUCAGUAUCAAAGAAUCGUACGCAAGCCAGGCUGAUAUUUCAAACAGACAAAUUUCAAAGAUAGUGCGAACUGAAGGCUUCAACGUUUAGGAAAAUAUUUGGAGAGGUUCAUCGGAAGUGUAAAGAGAAGGCAGUUCGGGAGGAAGAGGAACAAAUAGGCAGCAAGGCCAUUAUGGAAAUCAUUUUCAUGCGUACCGCAAAGUUUAUCCAGCGAAGCUCGAAAUCGGGGUCUGGCUUCAUAGCCGUGCGGUUAGUGUCCCCAACCAUUUGGCCAAAUCGUGCAAAGGAAGUGGAUUCGAUUCCAGCCGCAUGCAGGAAAACUUUUCGUGAGGAAUGUUUCCCGACUGUGUCUGUGCAUGCUAGUCUAGUGUUGUGCUUUCUUCAAAGGGCAAAAUGCCCACUGGGAGCAUUAUUAUCGUAUGUCGAAUGUCAAUUACAGGGCUGGUAGCAAGUCUCUUCUUGAGGACUUAGUCACUAUUUUAAAAUAAAUCUAUGAAAUCUCUA